AAAUGAUGCAUGGAUGGAUGCAUGGAUGGAUGGAUGGAUGUAUGAAUGGAUAAAGAUUUGUGAUGGUUAGUAGGAGAUACAGUUGCUUCCACUGGGGACUAAAAGUAUUAAAAACAGCUUUUAGGAACAUCAAGUUUCAAUGAUGAUUUGAGAUGGUAAUAUUAAAAUCUUUCUCUCAUCUCCUUUCUCUGCUGUCUCUGGGAAGCCAGGGCAAGUGGGAUGGAGUGGGAAGAGUAUUGGUUAGAGCAAGGCAGAUCCACGGGGACAUAAUUCCAGGAAUUCAUCAGUACUGCUCAUUUAAAAAGAGAAGAUACACCAGAGGGGAAAAGAGCUGCCCUGGAACCCUGAGCUACCAGAAGAGACUGAGACAGUUCAGUGCUUCUGACUCAUGUCUCUUGCAACAGUUAAUAUCUAAUCCCAUUCCCGUUUUGUAGGAUUAGCCUGGGUGAAACUAACAUACUCAGCUUUGGAAGUCUGAACACCUCUGGUCACUUCAUAGGAUGUAGGGGGAAAGUUCUUGGUGCAGUUCCAUUUGUGAACAAAGUGUAUUUCCUUAUCGGUUCUCUGACCCCUUGAUGGGUCAGAGAUCAAAACUUACUAAGGUCUCCCCAGGACCUGAAGAACUCUGUGCAGUGUGGUGAAAAUGCAAAAGCAGACUGAUUAUCAUAUUGUGCUUCUGCUGCCAACAUGCUUACUCAGUCCCUCAGCUUCCUCAACACAAUUUGAGAUGGAAAUUUUCCGAUCAGAAUUUUUCCUAUAAGUCUAAGAAGCUUGGAUUUGAGCCCAUUGUGCAGGCCAGGUUUUUUUUUCUUUUUCCAGUUACGUGACAAGCAGGUUGCCUUUGAGUCACUCAUAUGGUUGGCCUUGAUCUAGAAAUUGGCACGUGCUAAAAAGGCAAAAAAAUAUUUUCCUUCUUUUGUUUGACCCUUUAAGAAGAUUAGCCUGUGCACAAUUUUCUCCUGUGCUUAUAAACCUUACUGUUUCCUGCCUGGCCCCUCAUCCACCUGAGUCUCUCCUCACUCAUCUUCAAACCAAGCAGGCUGGCUGGUGGUGGGGUCCUCACUAACCCAGGCCAUUCCUGCUUCCCUGCUCCUAUAAACACCCUUUCCCCUUCCUUGAUAUCUACAGGGCCUGCCUCUCAUCCACAUUUUCCCAUGAUGCUUUUCCUGAAGUCCUUGAAUUAUUUUCUUCUUUUCAGUUGAAGCAUAGUCAGUUUAUGAUGUGUUGAUUUCUGGUGUACA